AUGCAUAUCAAAUGUUGGCAUCUACUGCUGCUACUACUCUGCCCAUAUUCAUGCAGGUCACUACACCUGCAUAUGCAUGAAUCCCACUGCAGCACAAGACUUGUCAACAAGAAUAACCACAACAGCACGUUCAACCAUAGAAUUCAACAGCAACAGAAUUCAACAGCAUGUUCUGGCAACAGUAACAGCAUGUUCACCAUAGAAUUCAACAGCAACAGAAUUCGGUUAAUUCAGUUAAUUAACCACAUAAUUCAACAGCAACAGAAUAGCAUGUCUACCACACUACCUACCACAGCAACAGUUAAUUGCUAUCAGGUGACUACCAACAGCAACAACAUAGUAAUCAAACAGCAAUUCAACCACACUAGAUCCACCAACAGAGCAUACUAA
rnacentral:rRNA from 1 species